CCAGCUCCUAGUCAUUCUUGGAGGAGUGGUUCUUAGUUCCCACAAGUGAAAUCUGUCUCUUCUUAGGGAUCAUACAGAAACAACAGAGUAUCACACUCUGCACUGUGUACCCCUCCAGUCUUAACUACUCUAGGUUACACUGAUUUGGGGGUGAUUCCACUGUGAUUGUUGGGUUUCAGACCUCUAAGAUUUAUUUAUUGUGUAUAUAAUGCUUUGCCUGCAUGGGCAGAAAAGAGCACCAGAUCUCAUUUCAGAUGGUUAUGAGUUACCAUGUGCUUGCUGAGAAUUGAACUCAGGACCUUGGGAGAAGCAGUUAGUGCUCAUAACCUCUGAGCCAUCUCUCCAGUCCCAGUUUCAGACCUCUAAACACUCUUACCUUUCUUUUUAAAGAUGUAAUAAAACCAAAUCUUCACCACUUUUGGAAAGUUGAUUCAGGCUGGGUAUCCAGCACAGUACACUGAGAGGUUUAUUUAAGAAAAAAUGGGGGGUGGAGAGACGGCUCAGCGGUUGAGAGUACCCACUGCUCUUCCAGAGGUCCUGGGUACAGUUCCCAGCAACCACAUGGUGGCUCACAACCAUCUGUAGGGAGAUCCGAUGCCCUCUUCUGGUGUGUCUGAAGAGAGUGACAGGGUACUCAUAUAUAAUAAAUAAAUCUUAAAAAAAGAAAGAAAGAAAGAAAGAAGGGGUUGGUAUCAAGCAGCAAGAGGGGGAGAUGGAACUGGUAGAUGUGAGUUUCCUACAGUUGACUAAUGGCCGGAAAAAUGACACCCACCUGGCUAGGUGCUCAGUAAAACUUUACUACCUUUCGCCUUGGGCAGCUGUACCAAAGUGGUAUUUCCAAACGUGACUUAUCUUUCAACAGCUGAACUGGGUCAUCCUCCCGCAUUUGCUUCUUCCUGUGGUGCAUCUGCUCUCAGCUCUAAGUGGGGGCAGAUGGGAAACAUUAAUUUGUAAUUACCUCUGUUUAGGUGUUUAGCAAGUUGAUGUAACCACUUGUUUGUUUCUUCAUGGAUAAUGAGUACCCCCUGGUCAGGGGCAGUGCCAGAUAGGAUUUCAUUAAAAUAUUUAAUGGAA
rnacentral:lncRNA from 1 species